rnacentral:rRNA from 1 species
ACGCACGCUGGCGGCGUGCUUCACCCCUGCCAGUCGAACGGAAAGGCCCCUUUGGGGGUACUCGAGUGGCGAACGGGUGAGUAACACGUGAGUAACCUGCCCUUGACUUCGGGAUAACUUCAGGCAACUGGGGCUAAUACCGGAUAGGAAUCCUUGCUGCAUGGUGGGGGUUGGAAAGCUUCGGCGGUUUUGGAUGGACUCGCGGCUUAUCAGCUUGUUGGUGGGGUAGUGGCUUACCAAGGCUUUGACGGGUAGCCGGCCUGAGAGGGCGACCGGCCACAUUGGGACUGAGAUACGGCCCAGACUCCUACGGGAGGCAGCAGUGGGGAAUAUUGCACAAUGGGCGGAAGCCUGAUGCAGCAACGCCGCGUGCGGGAUGACGGCCUUCGGGUUGUAAACCGCUUUCAGCAGGGGCGAAGCUUGUGGUGACGGUACCUGCAGAAGAAGCACCGGCUAACUACGUG